ensembl:lncRNA
UGAUUUUCCCUUCCCUGUUUUUUUCUGUGCAGGCUACCACCACCACACCACUGAAGGGAAGCUGGCAAAAGGAGACUGAAAAACAGAGGAGAAGGAGGAGGAGGGGUUGCUGUUGAUUCUGCCCUCCCUCUCUCCUCGCCCUCUUCUGCAUCGCCUCUUCCCUCCUCCUCCCAUCCUCCUCUGCUCCAUCCUCAGCAGACUGCCCCUUUUUCCUGUACAGCGAGACGCAGCCCUCGCCACCAUCUUAGAGCAACGCUGGCAUGAAAUGGAAGUGGGAAGACCAGUCGGUGCAGGGGAAUGUUGUCGCUGCAGAGGGGAUGUGAAACGGCCCGAGCGCACAAUGGAAGGGACAGCGGGACUCCUUCUUUCAGCCCGGACUAAAGGAGGACGCCGGCGCUGACGUCUGCACAUGCUUCCUGCCGUGACUUUGGAACAGCACUGUUUGUACCUCUCGAUGCGUCUGUGUGAUGCAUUAUUUGACCCAAGCGGGUUGUGAGCAAACAUCAUGGCGGACUGCGACUGUGGGAAACAAGGCUGGAGAAGAUCAGCAGGACCAACUGGUCUCUAACUGUUGUGACUGUUGAGGGUUUGAAUCUUUGUAAUUACCAUCCUACAUGUAUUACAUGUUAUAC